rnacentral:rRNA from 1 species
CCUACGGGAGGCUGCAGUGGGGAAUAUUGGACAAUGGGGGGAACCCUGAUCCAGCGACGCCGCGUGAGUGAAGAAGUAUUUCGGUAUGUAAAGCUCUAUCAGCAGGGAAGAAAGAAAUGACGGUACCUGACUAAGACGCCCCGGCUAACUACGUGCCAGCAGCCGCGGUAAUACGUAGGGGGCAAGCGUUAUCCGGAUGUACUGGGUGUAAAGGGGGCGUAGACGGUGAGGCAAGUCUGGAGGGAAAGGCGGGGGCCCAACCCCCGGACUGCUUUGGAAACUGAAUAACUGGAGUGCAGGAGAGGUAAGUGGAAUUCCUAGUGUAGCGGUGAAAUGCGUAGAUAUUAGGAGGAACACCAGUGGCGAAGGCGGCUUACUGGACUGUAACUGACGUUGAGGCUCGAAAGCGUGGGGAGCAAACAGGAUUAGAUACCCUUGUAGUC